rnacentral:rRNA from 1 species
UACGGAGGGUGCGAGCGUUGUCCGGAAUCACUGGGCGUAAAGGGCGCGUAGGCGGCGUGUUAAGUCAGCUGUGAAAUCUCCAAGCUUAACUUGGAACGGUCAGCCGAUACUGCAGGGCUAGAGUGCAGAAGGGGCAACUGGAAUUCUCGGUGUAGCGGUGAAAUGCGUAGAUAUCGAGAGGAACACCUGCGGCGAAGGCGGGUUGCUGGGCUGACACUGACGCUGACAGCGCGAAAGCUAGGGGGAGCGAACGGG